CUCCAGGCCCCCGUGGGUGGGGUGAGGGUUGGGAACCUAUGAACAUUCUGCAGGGGCCACUGUCUUCUCCACGGUGCUCCCUUCGUGCGUGACCUGGCAGCUGUAGCUCUUGUGGGACUUCCACUGGUCGGACGUCAGGCUCAGGUAGCUGCUGGCCGCGUACUUGUUGUUGCUCUGUUUGGAGGGUUUGGUGGUCUCCACUCCCGCGUUGACAGCGCUGCCAUCUGCCUUCCAGGCCACUUCCACGGCUCCCGGGUAGAAGUCACUGAUCAGACACACUAGUGUGGCCUUGUUGGCUUGAAGCUCCUCAGAGGAGGGCGGGAAGAGAGUGACCGAGGGGGCAGCCUUGGGCUGACCUGCGGGGUGAACGAGGAGCAGGGGGUCAGAGUCCCGGUGUCCAGCCGGGGAGCCCCUGACCUCAGUAUAUGAUGAGAUGUUGGGGUGCGCUUGUUCCGGGGCUGUGCGUCCGAGGGUCUGUGCCGUGCAGAGGGCUCAGGGUGUUUUCCACCAUGUCCUGAUCUGCACUGGGAGCUGUUUCACCUUAGACACGUUCUGAUCACCUGUCCUGAGAUGUCUCGGGGUGUUGGCCUCCCACACGGACAUCUGACCGUCAGCGCCCUGACCCUGCCCUCUCCUGCCAUCCUGACAGGGCCUUCUGGGUGGCAUCUGUCCCCUGAGCAGAUGAAGAGAGCUGUGUGUCUCUCCUGCACAGCGACCUCUGAGGUCACUUUUCUGGCCUGGCUCCCCUGCUCUGUGGGAUGCUGGGGCGUUUUGGUCCCUCAGGCUGUUGCAGCCAAACAUGAGUUCUGGAGCCUGUGUGUGGGGCAAGGGCCUGGGGGGUCAGAGAGUCUGUCUGCUGUCCUGGGGUUUCUCUUAUUCCACGGGGUCUUUUCUGGCAUCCACCCCACGUCCUGGCUACCUGGUCAUUGCAGCGGGGCUUUCCCACUGUGUACUCUGCCCCCUCUGAUCCCCCUGGGCGUGGGAUAUGUCCUGAAGAGACCCAGGAGCCUGCCCUUUCCUCACAUCCUCUCCUUUGGAGACCCUUUCCCUGGCUUUCUGGUGUCCAGAGUCUGCUUCCUGACUGGGUUUCCUGAGUCUCAGGCUGGCUCAGGGCUCAGUCCCUGGCAGCCCCCAGACACCCAGGGCAGCCCGUCCACCUCCUACCUCACUCUGGGUCUGGAUUCCUGA
rnacentral:lncRNA from 1 species